rnacentral:rRNA from 1 species
AUGUGCAAUGACGUAUCCAAAUCUUCGUACGCUGACCACCUCUACAAGCCCACCUUCGUCGGCUCCAUCGACGUCGAUGUUGCCAAUACCGGUGGCAAGACACCUCUCAGAAGCUUGAUCGACCACUCCAAGGUGGAGAGCUUCGGAGGCCACGGCAGAAUGAGCAUAUUGUCGAGGGUGUACUUGAAAAAGGCAGUGGGCGAUAAGGCACGCCCCUGCGUGUUCAACCAUGGCGAGUCAGGCGUCAAGGUUACGCACCUGAACGCGUACCACAUGCGGUCAGCCAAGAUCAACACGAGCGUCGAUCAAUAUUAA